AAUGAACGCUGGCGGCAUGCCUAACACAUGCAAGUCGAACGAGACCUUCGGGUCUAGUGGCGCACGGGUGCGUAACGCGUGGGAAUCUGCCCUUGGGUUCGGAAUAACAGUUAGAAAUGACUGCUAAUACCGAAUGAUGUCGUAAGACCAAAGAUUUAUCGCCCAGGGAUGAGCCCGCGUAGGAUUAGCUAGUUGGUGUGGUAAAAGACGCACCAAGGCGACGAUCCUUAGCNGGUCUGAGAGGAUGAUCAGCCACACUGGGACUGAGACACGGCCCAGACUCCUACGGGAGGCAGCAGUGGGGAAGUAUUGGACAAUGGGCGAAAGCCUGAUCCAGCAAUGCCGCGUGAGUGAU
rnacentral:rRNA from 1 species